CGAGUCAUUGUAGCAAUACAGGCAUACGGCUCAGUAACGCGUAGUCCACCUAACCUAUGGACGGGAAUAACCUCGGGAAACUGAGAAUAAUGCCCGAUAGAACAUUAUGCCUGGAAUGGUUUAUGUUCCAAAUGAUUUAUCGCCGUAGGAUGGGACUGCGGCCUAUCAGUUUGUUGGUGAGGUAAUGGCCCACCAAGACUAUUACAGGUACGGGCUCUGAGAGGAGUAGCCCGGAGAUGGGUACUGAGACACGGACCCAGGCCCUAUGGGGCGCAGCAGGCGAGAAAACUUUGCAAUGUGCGAAAGCACGACAAGGUUAAUCCGAGUGGUUUCUGCUAAAGAAACCUUUUGUCAGUCCUAGAAACACUGAUGAAUAAGGGGUGGGCAAGUUCUGGUGUCAGCCGCCGCGGUAAAACCAGCACCUCAAGUGGUCAGGAUGAUUAUUGGGCCUAAAGCAUCCGUAGCCGGCUCUGUAAGUUUUCGGUUAAAUCUGUACGCUCAACGUACAGGCUGCCGGGAAUACUGCAGAGCUAGGGAGUGGGAGAGGUAGACGGUACUCGGUAGGAAGGGGUAAAAUCCUUUGAUCUAUUGAUGACCACCUGUGGCGAAGGCGGUCUACCAGAACACGUCCGACGGUGAGGGAUGAAAGCUGGGGGAGCAAACCGGAUUAGAUACCCGGGUAGUCCCAGCUGUAAACUAUGCAAACUCAGUGA
rnacentral:rRNA from 1 species